CGGAAAGCGAGUAAGGGUACACAGUGGAUGCCUAGGCAUUUCGUGCCGAUGAAGGACGUGUUAUACUGCGAAAAUCUUCGAUGAGGUGUAUAAG
rnacentral:rRNA from 1 species